rnacentral:rRNA from 1 species
UACGGGGGGGGCUAGCGUUGUUCGGAAUUACUGGGCGUAAAGGGCUCGUAGGCGGCCGCCUAAGUCAGACGUGAAAUCCCCAGGCUCAACUUGGGAACUGCGUCUGAUACUGGGUGGCUUGAAUCCGGGAGAGGGAUGCGGAAUUCCAGGUGUAGCGGUGAAAUGCGUAGAUAUCUGGAGGAACACCGGUGGCGAAGGCGGCAUCCUGGACCGGCAUUGACGCUGAGGAGCGAAAGCCAGGGGAGCAAAC